rnacentral:rRNA from 1 species
CCUACGGGGGGCAGCAGUGGGGAAUCUUGCACAAUGGGGGAACCCCUGAUGCCGCGACGCCGCGUGAGCGAUGAAGUAUUUCGGUAUGUAAAGCUCUAUCAGCAGGGAAGAAAAUGACUGUACCUGACUAAGAAGCCCCGGCUAACUACGUGCCAGCAGCCGCGGUAAUACGUAGGGUGCAAGCGUUAUCCGGAUUUACGGGGUGUAACGGGAGCGUAGACGGCGGUGCAAGCCAGAUGUGAAAGCCCGGGGCGCAACCCCGGGACUGCAUUUGGACCUGGGUGGCUGGAGUGUCGGAGAGGCAGGCGGAAUUCCUAGUGGAGCGGUGAAAUGCGUAGAUAUUAGGAGGAACACCAGUGGCGAAGGCGGCCUGCUGGACGAUGACUGACGUUGAGGCUCGAAAGCGUGGGGAGCAAACAGGAUUAGAUACCCCUGUAGUC